rnacentral:lncRNA from 10 species
CACCAACAAAGUGAGCCUAAAGGAGAAAAGAGGACCAAGUUCUAAGGCAGGAGGCAUGCAAACCUUUCAAGAAAAGAGUUUGGAGACAUUAUCCUUAUAUGUGAUUGAAGUCACUAUUUCAGGAUUCCUCCGACAAUAUACAGUGAAGCUCCUGAAGUUCAAUGCAAUAAGAAGUGCUUCAUUGGCGUGGCAAAGUGGGAACCUCCUGCAGAUUUAGAAGUGGUGGCACCCCUCUUGCAGCAACAUGUAGCAGCAUACGGUUGGGCCAUCAAUGAAUCCAAGGUCCAAGGGCCUGGAUUAGCUGCCAAAUUCUUGGGAGUUAUCUGGUCAGGUGACAGCAAGCAAUAGGGAGCCAGAACCGCAUGGAAUUUGGUUUGAAAUGUCCUCCUCACCCAGCCCCAUCCACCACCACCUACUUGGGCUCAGAACCCUUAUUUUUUAGUGAAAAGAUGGCAGGACUGAGGCUUAUGAAAUCUGAACAUGAGUUCUUGUUCGUUCAUUAACAGUGAGACCUGCAACAACUCACUUGCCUGCUUGGAAGCCUCCUUUCUUCCUCUGUAAAAUGGGGAUGAUCCUUUAAUACCAGCUUUGCAGGUUACUGGAGAAUCACAUGAAAUAAUGUACACUGUGAAGUGUGAAGGCAGUGUUGGUUGUUAUUAACACCAGCAGCCUGACCUUGAACCAGGCAACCAAAUGCUCUGUCUCAGAGCCCUCAUCUAUGAGAUGAGUGAGGGGAUUACAUCAUGGUACACAGGCUCUGUGAGAACCACGUAGGAGGCAUGUUAAAAUUCAGAUUCCGGGCCUGCCGUGGUUUAGAUAUUUGACCCUCCAAACAUCUUGUUGAAAUUCAACCCCUAAUAUUAGAGGUAGGGCCUAACGGGAGGUGUCUGGGUCAUGGGGGCCGAUCCUUCAUGAAUGGCUUGGUGCCAGUUGUUGAGGUAAUGAGUGAAUUCUUGCUCUAUCAGUUACCAUGACACUUGAUUGCUUCCUCUCUGGCUAUGUGACCUCUGUAUACACCAGGUCCUCUUCCCCUUCUACCAAGAGCUUGUCCCAUGGUGAGCUGAAGCCCUCACCAGAAGCAGAUGCUGGUACCAUGCUUCUUGUACAGCCUGCAGAACCGUGAGCCAAAUAAACUUCUCUUCUUUAUA